AUUGAACGCUGGCGGAAUGCUUUACACAUGCAAGUCGAACGGCAGCACGGGGGCAACCCUGGUGGCGAGUGGCGAACGGGUGAGUAAUACAUCGGAACGUGCCCAGUCGUGGGGGAUAACGUAGCGAAAGCUACGCUAAUACCGCAUACGAACUGAGGUUGAAAGCGGGGGAUCGCAAGACCUCGCGCGAUUGGAGCGGCCGAUGGCAGAUUAGGUAGUUGGUGGGGUAAAGGCCUACCAAGCCGACGAUCUGUAGCUGGUCUGAGAGGACGACCAGCCACACUGGGACUGAGACACGGCCCAGACUCCUACGGGAGGCAGCAGUGGGGAAUUUUGGACAAUGGGCGCAAGCCUGAUCCAGCCAUUCCGCGUGCAGGAUGAAGGCCCUCGGGUUGUAAACUGCUUUUGUACGGAACGAAAAGGCCUGGGUUAAUACCCUGGGCUGAUGACGGUACCGUAAGAAUAAGCACCGGCUAACUACGUGCCAGCCGCCGCCGUAAAAC
rnacentral:rRNA from 1 species